UUAACUGAAACCAAAAUAGAGGUAUAUUACUGUUAAUAAUAUAAUUGAAUUAUAAAUUAUUCCAGUUAAG
rnacentral:tRNA from 1 species